ensembl:lncRNA
GGAGACUAUAUACAGGGGGUACCGGUACAGAGUCAAUGUGGAGACUAUAUACAGGGGGUACCGGUACAGAGUCAAUGUGGAGGCUAUAUACAGGGGGUACCGGUACAGAGUCAAUGUGGAGGCUAUAUACAGGGGGUACCAGUACAGAGUCAAUGUGGAGGCUAUAUACAGGGGGUACCGGUACAGAGUCAAUGUGGAGACUAUAUACAGGGGGUACCGGUACAGAGUCAAUGUGGAGGCUAUAUACAGGGGGUACCAGUACAGAGUUAAUGUGGAGGCUGAAUACAGGAGGUACCGGUACAGAGUUAAUGUGGAGACUAUAUACAGGAGGUACCGGUACAGAGUUAAUGUGGAGACUAUAUACAGGAGGUACCAGUACAGAGUCAAUGUGGAGGCUAUAUACAGGGGGUACCGGUACAGAGUCAAUGUGGAGGCUAUAUACAGG